UCUAACUUCUGACCUCAAGUGAUCCACCCACUUGGGCUUCCCAAAGUGCUGGGAUUACAAGCAUGAGCCACUGCGCCCAGCCCUUUUCCUCAUUAUUUGAAUCAAACUUUAUUUCUUCAGGUGGAAUCAAAUAAAAAGGGUUAAGAAGGGGGAAAAUAUAUGUAUAUGUAAAAAGCCCGACCAAUGUUUCCGCAUCCUCACCACUUCUCAUAUUCUAUCAACACUGGGGAUUUGCAUUCUGUUUUCCUGCUAAGAAAACUAAACUUCUGACUUGUCUAAGACUAAGUGGAAGGCAGAAAUGAACUAUGGUGCUCAAAUAAUACUCUGAAUGGCAACAGAAAGUCAUUUUUAAAAAUGAGAAAAAGGAAAGGGUAAAUGAACAAUAAACAUAAAAUGUAAGCUAGUUAAUAAUUAGAAUGCUAGAAGAAAUUAGAAUUUCAUUUUUACAGUUAUCCUUUAAAUCUAUUGUUACAAAGUCUUGGCAAUAUAAAUUCACGAAACCCAAAUCUGACAAUAAUGAGAUGUAAUCUGAAGAUCAAUCCAAAAAAGGAAAAAUACAUUGAUUUCACUCCUGUUUUUCCUGAAGGCAGGGAGCAGUACUCCUGUAACCCCCCCACACACAGAUGUCAUAUGUCAGAAUGAAGAGAUGUUAAAAGCAGUGACUGGUAAAAAUCAAGAAGCAAUAUCCAGAACCCUAAGGAGCAUCGCAAUGUGGAAAUUAAGAACCACAAUUUACAAACCAUCUGGAACUCAAGCUUCCUCUGCUAUGUUUUCUAGUAGAUUUCCAUGCAAGAAUAUACCAAAAUUUGUGUAUCUACUUUCCUGCUGAUGGACUUUCCCCCCAACCCACCCCAGUUUGGAGCUAUGUAGUGAGUUGAAUUGAACAGAGACCCACAAAAGGUAUGUCUAAAUCCUAACCUCUGCUACCUUGAAUGUGAUCAUAUUUGGAAACAGUUUUAGCAUACGUAAUUAAAUUAAGAAUCUCAAGAUGAAAUCAUCCUGGAUUUAGGGUGAGCCCUAGACUGGAGUGAUACAUCUACCCAGAAACGCCAAGGAUCGUGAGUAGAUUAAUGAAGCUAGCAGAGUGGUAUGGAUCAGAUUCUCACUCAGAGACUCUGGAAGAAAGGAACCCUACCAAUGCCUUCAUUUAUGACUUCUGGACCCCAGAAAUGUGAUAGCAUAAAUCUCUGUUGUUUUAAGCCACCAAGAUCGUAGACAUUUGUGGCGGCAACCCUAAGAAACUAAUACAGGCU
rnacentral:lncRNA from 10 species